rnacentral:lncRNA from 1 species
AUGGCGACGCGUUGUCUAAGUAUUUUACUUCCCAUGUUCUUCAUUGGCCUUUCUCCAGCCGCAAGCGAAAGGGAAAGCAAGGGUCCCACCCCCCACAAUCCUCAUCCCUUCCAUGCACGACUCGGGGGGCACAACCCUUUCCUCGCAGCUGGACCAGACGGCGCUGAAUCGCAGAGGAGGACCCCACUUCCCGCCGCGGCUCCAGCCCCGCUGCCUCCCCUCCCCCGCGGCUCCCUUCCAGGCACAGGAAUAAGGGGAAGUGGGAAAAUCGGGGGCGCCAUUUUGAGCCGGGAAGAAGAGAGCUCAGCCUCUCUUCCCUACCACUGGGCUGCCCACCUUGGCAGCCCGCCCCACCGCCCAGUCUGCCCGCAGCGCCCGGCGGCGGCGGCCGGCGAGGGGGAGGAAGCCCGAGCAGCCCAGCCCCACAUCGGAUACUGUCGGGGCUUCACUAUCCGCCAAUGCGGCCCCCGCCCCACCAGCCCCGUCGCUGCCUCACCUGGCCAGGCCGCGGCGGCCGCGCAGGGGAAGGGGAGGACAGGGAGUCAGGCGGCGGAGGCGGCGCAGCGUCUGUCUGCUUGUCUGUCUGUCCGUCCGGCCAGCAGGGCUGGAGGCCUAGUCGGAGCAGGGCCGUGGGAGGAGGGGGCGGCGGGGAGGCGGCUCCACGACAGGCACGGGGUGGGGGCGAGGGGCGGGGGCGCAGCCGAGCCUCACCCAGAGGCCGCCGCCGACUUCCGCCGCCUCCUGUUCCCCGACCAAAACACACACGCACACGUACUUCCGGUACUGUCGCCACGUCACGGCCCGCACGCUUCCGGUUCGCCCGCGAGUCACAUGACUCCACGCUGCCUUUUCCUCCUCCUGUAUUUUCUCCCCCUCCCCACUGAAAGCGCUGAGGGUGGUUGGGUGCUAGUGCCUCCCGUCCCUCCUCAGAAGACCGACUGCUCUAGCGAAAGGCGUCUUCCAUGCCUCUUCUCUAGGAGCCACGUAUAUUUUAAAUUAGCAAUCACUGAUAAAGCUUUAGAGAUAGGUUUAGUAUUGUGA